GAUAACACUUGGAAACAGGUGCUAAUACCGCAUAACAGUUUAUGCCGCAUGGCAUAAGAGUGAAAGGCGCUUUCGGGUGUCGCUGAUGGAUGGACCCGCGGUGCAUUAGCUAGUUGGUGAGGUAACGGCUCACCAAGGCCACGAUGCAUAGCCGACCUGAGAGGGUGAUCGGCCACACUGGGACUGAGACACGGCCCAGACUCCUACGGGAGGCAGCAGUAGGGAAUCUUCGGCAAUGGACGAAAGUCUGACCGAGCAACGCCGCGUGAGUGAAGAAGGUUUUCGGAUCGUAAAACUCUGUUGUUAGAGAAGAACAAGGACGUUAGUAACUGAACGUCCCCUGACGGUAUCUAACCAGAAAGCCACGGCUAACUACGUGCCAGCAGCCGCGGUAAUACGUAGGUGGCAAGCGUUGUCCGGAUUUAUUGGGCGUAAAGCGAGCGCAGGCGGUUUCUUAAGUCUGAUGUGAAAGCCCCCGGCUCAACCGGGGAGGGUCAUUGGAAACUGGGAGACUUGAGUGCAGAAGAGGAGAGUGGAAUUCCAUGUGUAGCGGUGAAAUGCGUAGAUAUAUGGAGGAACACCAGUGGCGAAGGCGGCUCUCUGGUCUGUAACUGACGCUGAGGCUCGAAAGCGUGGGGAGCAAACAGGAUUAGAUAC
rnacentral:rRNA from 1 species